CCUCGUCAAUCUGCUGCGGGCAGAUGAAAUGGAUGUGGCUGUCGAUGCCGCCGGCCGUGACGAUCAUGCCUUCGCCGGCAAUCACCUCGGUGCCGGGGCCGAUGACGAUGGUGACGCCGGGCUGGAUGUCCGGGUUGCCGGCCUUGCCGAUGGCGGCGAUGCGGCCGUCCUUCAAACCGAUGUCGGCCUUGAUGAUGCCGGUCACCGCAUCGACGACCAAGGCGUUGGUGAUUACCGUAUCGACCGUUUCCGCCGAGACGCGCUGGCUCUGGCCCAUGCCGUCGCGGAUG
rnacentral:sRNA from 1 species